rnacentral:rRNA from 1 species
ACGGAUAUCUCGGCUCUCGCAUCGAUGAAGAACGUAGCGAAAUGCGAUACCUGGUGUGAAUUGCAGAAUCCCGCGAACCAUCGAGUCUUUGAACGCAAGUUGCGCCCGAGGCCUUCUGGUCGAGGGCACGCCUGCCUGGGCGUCACGCCAAACACGCUCCCACC